AGAGAAAGACGACUAAAGUUUCUUAAACUAUCUGAUCAUAUAGUUUAUUCUCAACGCUGUUAAUUAUAAUCAUAUAAAAGUGGAGUCUCAUAGCUCAGCUGGUUAGAGCGCUACACUGAUAAUGUAGAGGUCGGCAGUUCAAGUCUGCCUGAGACUACUACGUUUAGUUUAUUACUAAAUAAAAAUGAGGAUUUUAGUAGCUGAGAUUUUUUUCUGAAAACUCAUUAUAUGGGGGAUUAGCUCAGCUGGCUAGAGCGCUAGAUUUGCAUUCUAGAGGUCGUGGGUUCGACUCCCACAUUCUCCACAAUCAGCUUUAUGCUGAAAAUGUUCUUUGACAUAUUGAAAAAAAUACAUGAAAUUAAAAAUUUCUAAACAAAUCUAAAUUUAAUUAAUUAGUUAAUUAAUUGAGUUUACGAGCAAUAUAAUUUAUAACUCAUAAAAAUACAAAAGUUAC
rnacentral:tRNA from 1 species